GAUGAACGCUGGCGGCGUGCCUAAUACAUGCAAGUCGAGCGAACGGACGAGAAGCUUGCUUCUCUGAUGUUAGCGGCGGACGGGUGAGUAACACGUGGAUAACCUACCUAUAAGACUGGGAUAACUUCGGGAAACCGGAGCUAAUACCGGAUAAUAUUUUGAACCGCAUGGUUCAAAAGUGAAAGACGGUCUUGCUGUCACUUAUAGAUGGAUCCGCGCUGCAUUAGCUAGUUUGUAAGGUAACGGCUUACCAAGGCAACGAUGCAUAGCCGACCUGAGAGGGUGAUCGGCCACACUGGAACUGAGACACGGUCCAGACUCCUACGGGAGGCAGCAGUAGGGAAUCUUCCGCAAUGGGCGAAAGCCUGACGGAGCAACGCCGCGUGAGUGAUGAAGGUCUUCGGACCGUAAAACUCUGUUAUUAGGGAAGAACAUAUGUGUAAGUAACUGUGCACAUCUUGACGGUACCUAAUCAGAAAGCCACGGCUAACUACGUG
rnacentral:rRNA from 1 species